GUUGUCGUUGAUGUUUAAUCACCUAGUUUUGAGUUUAAAUGGCCAUGAAAUAAUCUUCAUGCACUACCAUCUGAGACAUC
ensembl:snoRNA SNORD33 Small nucleolar RNA Z195/SNORD33/SNORD32 family